CACUGGUGUUCGGGUUGUCAUGCCAAUGGCACUGCCCGGUAGCUAAAUGCGGAAGAGAUAAGUGCUGAAAGCAUCUAAGCACGAAACUUGCCCCGAGAUGAGUUCUCCCUGACUCCUUGAGAGUCCUGAAGGAACGUUGAAGACGACGACGUUGAUAGGCCGGGUGUGUAAGCGCAGCGAUGCGUUGAGCUAACCGGUACUAAUGAACCGUGAGGCUUAACCUU
rnacentral:rRNA from 1 species